UGCUUCCUGCUGAUAAUCUUCCAACUUUGUGCUGUGUUCCUCUCAGCCAAAUCUGGUUGCGUCAUGUAUUCAUCGGUUAGUAUGCAGCAGAUUGUUUAGAGAUGAAGCGUUACUUAACAUGGUAGAUUUUGUGCAAUCCUGCAUCAGUGGGGGUGUCAAUGGAAAGGUACUUGCUCCACAUCAACAAGUUGGAUUUGUUACCUUUAUAAGUGAAGCUUCAAUUGUUGAACUUGCACUGUAUAACCAGUCCUUAUAUACAGCUAAUGAGUUCACAGCCUUGUUUUUCAUACUCCAACUCUUUGAUGGUGCUUUGAUCUCUUGCUGCCUGCUGUUUGGUAUAGCUAACUCCUGUAUUUAGUUAUUAUAUAUAUGUAACUCAAUUGCUGAAUGAGUUGUAUUACAUGACUUGAAACAAGAUCUUUGAUCUGACCUGUAUGCUUGAGUCUGUGCAGCCUAUAUACAGCUUUCCGUUUAUCAA